rnacentral:rRNA from 5 species
UUAAGCGACUAAGCGUACACGGUGGAUGCCCUGGCAGUCAGAGGCGAUGAAGGACGUGCUAAUCUGCGAUAAGCGUCGGUGAGGUGAUAUGAACCGUUAUAACCGGCGAUUUCCGAAUGGGGAAACCCAGUGUGUUUCGACACACUAUCAUUAACUGAAUCCAUAGGUUAAUGAGGCGAACCGGGGGAACUGAAACAUCUAAGUACCCCGAGGAAAAGAAAUCAACCGAGAUUCCCCCAGUAGCGGCGAGCGAACGGGGAGGAGCCCAGAGCCUGAAUCAGUGUGUGUGUUAGUGGAAGCGUCUGGAAAGGCGUGCGAUACAGGGUGACAGCCCCGUACACAAAAAUGCACAUAUUGUGAGCUCGAUGAGUAGGGCGGGACACGUGGUAUCCUGUCUGAAUAUGGGGGGACCAUCCUCCAAGGCUAAAUACUCCUGACUGACCGAUAGUGAACCAGUACCGUGAGGGAAAGGCGAAAAGAACCCCGGCGAGGGGAGUGAAAAAGAACCUGAAACCGUGUACGUACAAGCAGUGGGAGCCUCUUAAUGGGGUGACUGCGUACCUUUUGUAUAAUGGGUCAGCGACUUAUAUUCUGUAGCAAGGUUAACCGAAUAGGGGAGCCGAAGGGAAACCGAGUCUUAACUGGGCGUUAAGUUGCAGGGUAUAGACCCGAAACCCGGUGAUCUAGCCAUGGGCAGGUUGAAGGUUGGGUAACACUAACUGGAGGACCGAACCGACUAAUGUUGAAAAAUUAGCGGAUGACUUGUGGCUGGGGGUGAAAGGCCAAUCAAACCGGGAGAUAGCUGGUUCUCCCCGAAAGCUAUUUAGGUAGCGCCUCGUGAAUUCAUCUCCGGGGGUAGAGCACUGUUUCGGCAAGGGGGUCAUCCCGACUUACCAACCCGAUGCAAACUGCGAAUACCGGAGAAUGUUAUCACGGGAGACACACGGCGGGUGCUAACGUCCGUCGUGAAGAGGGAAACAACCCAGACCGCCAGCUAAGGUCCCAAAGUCAUGGUUAAGUGGGAAACGAUGUGGGAAGGCCCAGACAGCCAGGAUGUUGGCUUAGAAGCAGCCAUCAUUUAAAGAAAGCGUAAUAGCUCACUGGUCGAGUCGGCCUGCGCGGAAGAUGUAACGGGGCUAAACCAUGCACCGAAGCUGCGGCAGCGACACUAUGUGUUGUUGGGUAGGGGAGCGUUCUGUAAGCCUGUGAAGGUGGCCUGUGAGGGGUGCUGGAGGUAUCAGAAGUGCGAAUGCUGACAUAAGUAACGAUAAAGCGGGUGAAAAGCCCGCUCGCCGGAAGACCAAGGGUUCCUGUCCAACGUUAAUCGGGGCAGGGUGAGUCGACUCCUAAGGCGAGGCCGAAAGGCGUAGUCGAUGGGAAACAGGUUAAUAUUCCUGUACUUGGUGUUACUGCGAAGGGGGGACGGAGAAGGCUAUGUUGGCCGGGCGACGGUUGUCCCGGUUUAAGCGUGUAGGCUGGUUUUCCAGGCAAAUCCGGAAAACCAAGGCUGAGGCGUGAUGACGAGGCACUACGGUGCUGAAGUGACAAAUGCCCUGCUUCCAGGAAAAGCCUCUAAGCAUCAGGUAACAUCAAAUCGUACCCCAAACCGACACAGGUGGUCAGGUAGAGAAUACCAAGGCGCUUGAGAGAACUCGGGUGAAGGAACUAGGCAAAAUGGUGCCGUAACUUCGGGAGAAGGCACGCUGAUAUGUAGGUGAAGCGACUUGCUCGUGGAGCUGAAAUCAGUCGAAGAUACCAGCUGGCUGCAACUGUUUAUUAAAAACACAGCACUGUGCAAACACGAAAGUGGACGUAUACGGUGUGACGCCUGCCCGGUGCCGGAAGGUUAAUUGAUGGGGUUAGCGGUAACGCGAAGCUCUUGAUCGAAGCCCCGGUAAACGGCGGCCGUAACUAUAACGGUCCUAAGGUAGCGAAAUUCCUUGUCGGGUAAGUUCCGACCUGCACGAAUGGCGUAAUGAUGGCCAGGCUGUCUCCACCCGAGACUCAGUGAAAUUGAACUCGCUGUGAAGAUGCAGUGUACCCGCGGCAAGACGGAAAGACCCCGUGAACCUUUACUAUAGCUUGACACUGAACAUUGAGCCUUGAUGUGUAGGAUAGGUGGGAGGCUUUGAAGUGUGGACGCCAGUCUGCAUGGAGCCGACCUUGAAAUACCACCCUUUAAUGUUUGAUGUUCUAACGUUGGCCCGUAAUCCGGGUUGCGGACAGUGUCUGGUGGGUAGUUUGACUGGGGCGGUCUCCUCCUAAAGAGUAACGGAGGAGCACGAAGGUUGGCUAAUCCUGGUCGGACAUCAGGAGGUUAGUGCAAUGGCAUAAGCCAGCUUGACUGCGAGCGUGACGGCGCGAGCAGGUGCGAAAGCAGGUCAUAGUGAUCCGGUGGUUCUGAAUGGAAGGGCCAUCGCUCAACGGAUAAAAGGUACUCCGGGGAUAACAGGCUGAUACCGCCCAAGAGUUCAUAUCGACGGCGGUGUUUGGCACCUCGAUGUCGGCUCAUCACAUCCUGGGGCUGAAGUAGGUCCCAAGGGUAUGGCUGUUCGCCAUUUAAAGUGGUACGCGAGCUGGGUUUAGAACGUCGUGAGACAGUUCGGUCCCUAUCUGCCGUGGGCGCUGGAGAACUGAGGGGGGCUGCUCCUAGUACGAGAGGACCGGAGUGGACGCAUCACUGGUGUUCGGGUUGUCAUGCCAAUGGCACUGCCCGGUAGCUAAAUGCGGAAGAGAUAAGUGCUGAAAGCAUCUAAGCACGAAACUUGCCCCGAGAUGAGUUCUCCCUGACUCCUUGAGAGUCCUGAAGGAACGUUGAAGACGACGACGUUGAUAGGCCGGGUGUGUAAGCGCAGCGAUGCGUUGAGCUAACCGGUACUAAUGAACCGUGAGGCUUAACCUU